rnacentral:rRNA from 1 species
GACGAACGCUGGCGGCGUGCUUAACACAUGCAAGUCGAACGAUGAAGCCGGAGCUUGCUCUGGUGAAUUAGUGGCGAACGGGUGAGUAACACGUGAGUAACCUGCCCUUGACUCUGGGAUAACUGCUAGAAAUGGUAGCUAAUACCGGAUACGACCCUCGGAGACAUCUCCAGGGGGUGGAAAGAAUUUCGGUCAAGGAUGGACUCGCGGCCUAUCAGCUAGUUGGUGAGGUAACGGCUCACCAAGGCGACGGCGGGUAGCCGGCCUGAGAGGGUGACCGGCCACACUGGGACUGAGACACGGCCCAGACUCCUACGGGAGGCAGCAGUGAGGAAUAUUGGUCAAUGGCCGGAAGGCUGAACCAGCCAUCCCGCGUGCAGGAUGACGGCCCUAUGGGUUGUAAACUGCUUUUGUACCUGAAGAAACCUGGUUACGAGUAACCAGUUGCCGGUAAGGUAUGAAUAAGCAUCGGCUAACUCCGUGCCAGCAGCCGCGGUAA